GCUGGGCUCCAGCUUCGAACCACGGCACACCGCUCCAGGCCUGGCCAACAAAGAUCCCAAGAACCGCUGCCAUUGCCCAUCGGCCAUGAAUCAGCUCAGCCUCUCUGUACCAUUUCAGAAAAGCCGGGUCUUUGCCCAAACCCAAUGGGUCGAACCCGUAAUCUCCCGGUAGCCUGCGAAUAUUACACACAUUUGACUCAAUAACUGGGUAAUAAUUCGGGCUUUUCAUACUCUUUUGAGAUUCAUUUUACAGAUAAGAACCAAAUGAGUAUUCACGACCUUCAGAACUAUCAUAAUCUAUUGUUCAUGCUAGUACAUAAGAGAUUUGAAUGAGAAUUCAGCAUUGUUCAUGCUAGUAACUGAUAGAUUUAAGAGAACUUACGAGCCAUCGAGCCAUUCAGGGUCAAGAAAGUUGCCACCACCUUUAACGGCAGGGAUCCAAGAUUUCUUAGGCUGAGCAGCCGCAGCAACGACAAUCAGAGUUUUCCGGCCAACUCUCUGAGCUCCAGUGCCAACGCCGUUUCCCAAUGCGGUGGAACUUCUCUUGCCUCCGGUGAGGAACGAAGAACCAAGCCCACUGAGGACAGCUCCGGAGACCGCCAUCGCCAUGAGAUCUCUAAUAUACUUCCUCUGUUUUUUUUCUCUCAAGAUGUG
rnacentral:lncRNA from 1 species